rnacentral:rRNA from 1 species
AGAGCGAACGCUGGCGGCAUGCUUAACACAUGCAAGUCGCACGGGCACUUCGGUGUCAGUGGCGGACGGGUGAGUAACGCGUAGGUAUCUAUCCUUGGGUGGGGGACAACUGUGGGAAACUACAGCUAAUACCGCAUGAUAACUGAGGUUUAAAGGCGCAAGUCGCCUGAGGAGGAGCCUGCGUACGAUUAGCUAGUUGGUGGGUAAAGGCCUACCAAGGCGACGAUCGUUAGCUGGUCUGAGAGGAUGAUCAGCCACAUUGGGACUGAGACACGGCCCAAACUCCUACGGGAGGCAGCAGUGGGGAAUAUUGGACAAUGGGCGCAAGCCUGAUCCAGCAAUGCCGCGUGUGUGAAGAAGGUCUUCGGAUUGUAAAGCACUUUCGACGGGGACAUGAUGACGGUACCCGUAGAAGAGCCCGGCUAACUUCGCGCCAGCAGCCGC